rfam:Ipomoea nil DNA, scaffold: scaffold2088, cultivar: Tokyo-kokei standard.
GGUUUCGUGGGUGUAGUUGGUUAUCACGUCAGUCUAACACACUGAAGGUCUCCGGUUCAAGUCCGGGCGAAGCCA